UCUAGGAUUAGAUACCCUACUAUGCUUGGCCGUAAACAAAGACACACAAUCCGCCAGGAGACUACGAGCACAAAGCUUAAAACCCAAAGGACCUGACGGUGUCCCAUACCUACCUAGAGGAGCCCGUCUCAUAAUCGAUAGCCCGCGAUAAACCUCACCACCCCUGGCCCACCCAGUCUAUAUACCGCCGUCGCAAGCCUAUCUCUCAAGAAUCAGUGGCUAAACAGUACAACCGUACUAACACGACAGGUCAAGGCGUAACUCAUGGGGUGGAGAAGAUUGGCUACAAUGCCUACUUAAACCUAGGCCCCCUAAACGAAAUACAUACCAUGAAACAGGAAUAUGAAGAUGAAUUUAGCAGUAAGGAAAGAAAAGAAGACUUUCCUGAAAACAGCCCUGGGACGAGUACACACCGCCCGUCACCCUCAUCA
rnacentral:rRNA from 1 species